rnacentral:misc_RNA from 1 species
GAUGAAGAACGCAGCGAAAUGCGAUAAGUAAUGUGAAUUGCAGAAUUCAGUGAAUCAUCGAAUCUUUGAACGCACCUUGCGCCUUUUGGUAUUCCGAAAGGCACACCUGUUUGAGCGUCAUGAAUACCUCAAUCUCCAUCUUUUCUUCGGAUUGAUGGGUGACUUGGAUGUUGAGCCCUGCUGGUAUGCUAUAUCAGCUGGCUUUAAACUUAUUAGCCGGCUCUGUACUGGAUCGGUUUGACUCGACGUGAUAAUAUUAUCGUUGAGGAUGCAUGUCUCAUGCAGCCGGAAAGUAUCAAAGCAGCUUCUAGCUUACCUUUAGUGCACUUUUACAUUUUAGACCUCAGAUCAGGUGGGACUACCCGCUGAACUUAAGCAUAUCAAUAAGCGGAGGA